AGAUAGAAGCAGGAAUCUUGCAGCUUCCCGAGGUAACUCGGGUUGAAAAACGAGGUGAAUUCGGUGAAGUCCUGACUUAGUUGGGAUAAUACCGAGCCAAUCCUUUUUAGAUUUAAAAAGGCAGGUGUAGAGACUAUCCCGUAAGGGAGUACCUUUCUUAAUUGAUUAAGAAUAGGGAAGCGCCUUGUAUCCCAUUUUAUUGGGAUAAUGAUAUAGUCCAUCCCUAUUGGUAACAGUAGG
rnacentral:ncRNA from 1 species